UCUGUGAUGCCCUUAGAUGUCCUGGGCCGCAUGCGCGCUACACUGACACAUGCAGCGAGUCUUCCUUGUCCGAAAGGUCUGGGUAAUCUUGUAAAUGUGUGUCGUGAUAGGGAUAGAUUAUUGCAAUUAUUAAUCUUGAACGAGGAAUUCCUAGUAGAUGCGGGUCAUCAGCUCGCGUUGAUUACGUCCCUGCCCUUUGUACACACCGCCCGUCGCACCUACCGAUUGAAUGAUCCGGUGAAUUUUUCGGACCGUAGUUGGGACACUUUCGGGUGACUCGAUCGUGGGAAGUUAUUUAAACCUUAUCAUUUAGAGGAAGGUG
rnacentral:rRNA from 1 species